CACGUAGGCGGAUCGUUAAGUCGGGGGUGAAAUCCCGGGGCUCAACCCCGGAACUGCCUUCGAUACUGGCGAUCUUGAGUCCGGAAGAGGUGAGUGGAACUCCUAGUGUAGAGGUGGAAUUCGUAGAUAUUAGGAAGAACACCAGUGGCGAAGGCGGCUCACUGGUCCGGUACUGACGCUGAGGUGCGAAAGCGUGGGGAGCAAACA
rnacentral:rRNA from 1 species